ensembl:misc_RNA Metazoa_SRP Metazoan signal recognition particle RNA
GCCAGGUGUGGUGGCUCACGCCUGUAAUCCCAGCACUUUGGGAGGCUGAGAUGGGAAGAUCACUUGAGGCCAGGAGUUCAAGACCAGCCUGGUCAAUAUAGUGAGACCCCAUCUCAC